rnacentral:rRNA from 1 species
UGNCUAAAACAUGCAAGUCGAACGGUAACAGGUCUUCGGAUGCUGACGAGUGGCGGACGGGUGAGUAAUGCGUAGGAAUCUGUCUUUGAGUGGGGGACAACCCAGGGAAACUUGGGCUAAUACCGCAUAAGCCCUGAGGGGGAAAGCGGGGGAUCUUCGGACCUCGCGCUGGAAGAGGAGCCUACGUCUGAUUAGCUAGUUGGUAGGGUAAAGGCCUACCAAGGCGACGAUCGGUAGCUGGUCUGAGAGGACGACCAGCCACACUGGGACUGAGACACGGCCCAGACUCCUACGGGAGGCAGCAGUGGGGAAUUUUUCGCAAUGGGGGCAACCCUGACGAAGCAAUGCCGCGUGAAUGAAGAAGGCCUUCGGGUUGUAAAGUUCUUUCGUGGAGGACGAAAAGGUGGGUGCUAAUAUCGCCUGCUGUUGACGUGAAUCCAAGAAGAAGCACCGGCUAACUCCGUGCCAGCAGCCGCGKUAWUACGGGGGGUGCAAGCGUUUAAUCGGRAUCWCUGGAGCGUAAAGGGUGCGUAGGCSGURCAUUAGGUCUGUCGUGAAAUCCCCSGRCUCAACCUGGGAAUGGCGKUGRAAACCGGUGUACUAGAGUAUGGGAGAGRGUGGWGGAAUUMCAGGUGUAKCGKUGAAAURCGUAGAGAUCUGGAKGAACAUCAGUGGCGAAGGCGGCCRCCUGGCCCAAUAMKGACGMUGAGGCAMGAAAGCGUGGGGAGCAAACAGGAUUAGAKWCCCUGGUAGUCCACGCCCURAACGAUGAAUACUAGAUGUUUGGUGCCAAGCRUACUGAGUGUCGUAGCUAACGCGAUAAGUAUUCCRCCUGGRAAGUACGGMCGCAAGGUUAAAMCUCAAAGGAAUUGACGGGGGSCCGCACAAGCGGUGGAGCAUGUGGUUUAAUUMGAUGCAACGCGRRGAACCUWASMUGGRCUUGACGGUCAAUUUCUAGCAGAGAUGCGGGAGUGCCCUUGAGUGAAUCAGAACCCGGGAGCUUCAUGUCUGUAGUCAGUUCUUAUCGAGAGAUGUUGAGUUAAGUCCCGCAACGAGCGCAACCCUUGUCAGAAAUUACCAGCGGUUCGACAGGACAAUAUAGCCACAAGACCAGUGACAAGCCGGAUGAACAAGGAAAUUCCGUCAAGUCCUCGGGCCAGAGGUCCAGGGACAGAGCGUGCUACAAAGGCGCGCACAGAGGGAUGCCAAGCCGCAAAAUGGAACAGACCCCCGAGAGCAGGUCGUAUUUCGGAGGUCAGUCGGAAAGUUGUAAUCAUGAAGUCGGCGUAAAUAAAGAUCGGAGAUCAACAUACAGAUGUUUACACAGGAUCAGACAAAGAAAACUGGAAAAGACCCACCAUAAUAGAGAACUUUCUUAUCCCCUGCUAUCCAACCGUCGGGAGGGGAAAAAACCCUCAAGGNNU